AGGAAACUAAAUCAUUUUUCCACCUUAGUACGGGAGACGGAAAGGGUAAUUUUAAGCAAUAGAGAAAGUACCGCAAGGGAAAGCUGAAAGAGUAAUGAAACAAUUUAUAUAAGCACAAAAAAGCAGAGCCUAACCCUCGUACCUUUUGCAUCAUGAUUUAGCCAGCACCACACAAGCGAAGUGACCUUUAGUUUGAAAUCCCGAAACCAAGUGAGCUACCCCGGGACAGCCUAUUUGGGCGAACCCGUCUCUGUGGCAAAAGAGUGGGAAGAGCCCCGGGUAGAGGUGAUAAACCUACCGAACUUGGUGAUAGCUGGUUGCCUAAGAAAUGAAUAGAAGUUCAGCCUCGUACCCCUUUAGCCAACUAGGAAAUAUCUAAGUAAGCAUAAAAGAGAAAUACGAGAGUUAGUUAAAGGGGGUACAGCCCCUUUAAUAAAGGACACAACCUUAAUAGGAGGAUAAGAGUCACAUUUUAUAAAACUAGUCGUUCCAGUGGGCCUAAAAGCAGCCAUCUGAUUAGAAAGCGUUAAAGCUCAGGCGAUAUACAGUUUAUUAUACUGAUAAGUAGCCCAACUCCCCUAAAAGUAUUAGGCCAUUCCAUGCCCCCAUGGAAGAGACCAUGCUAGAAUGAGUAAUAAGAGGAUGUGACCCUCUCCUGGCACGAGUGUAAACCAGAUCGGACAAACCGCUGGAAAUUAACGAACCCAUAAAAAGAGGGUAAUGUGUUCACUAAAGAAUUCAAGAAAAUAACACAAUAUUUACAUCGUUAAACCCACACUGGAGUGCCAUAAAGGAAAGACUAAAAGAAAGGGAAGGAACUCGGCAAACACAAGCCUCGCCUGUUUACCAAAAACAUCGCCUCCUGCAAACCCCUACGUAUAGGAGGUCCAGCCUGCCCGGUGACUACAAGUUUAACGGCCGCGGUAUUUUGACCGUGCAAAGGUAGCGCAAUCACUUGUCUUUUAAAUGAAGACCUGUAUGAAUGGCUAAACGAGGGCUUAACUGUCUCCCCUUUCAGG
rnacentral:rRNA from 1 species